CUUUAGUAUGAGGAUGGUGGAGACGUUUUCUGCCCCUAGAGCGCCAGCAAAACGCAUCCUCCACAUCGGCGACAUUCUUCGAAGUUCGAAGACAGUGGUAGACCUGAAUUUGUGUUUUUUUGGGGUGAUGGAUGACUACAAAGAUCAAUGGCGAUGCACCUGCUGGUCUUUGGACAGGGGAGUAUCUUGCUCCGCCGCAUAAGACCUAGGCUGGCCAACCCUGCUCGUCCCAAUGGUUGGUCCACCACAGGUUGCAGAUUAAUGCUCAAGUUUGUGAAGAUUCAUUAUUUUUAUUACUUUUCGCUUUACUUUUUCUCAUUAUUUUUAUGCCAUAUGUACUUGAUUAAUGAGGUACUUUAUUAGACAUAAUUACUGAGGUACUCAAUCCAAAUAUUAUGUGACCAUUAUCUGAUCUACAAACUGUAAGUAGAUACCAUACUGCAGUACUCUUACCCUUUGCUUCUUAAUAGACUUCAAACCUAUGGAGGCCAUUCCACAAUCCCAGAUUAUAGUAGAGGAGCACGCUAUAAUUAUGUGAGAUGGUACUUACUAAAGAUGGUCUGAUCUCUUGACGUAGCAGAUUACGAUUGAGGAUAGUCGACAUGAGAUUGGGGGGCUUGUGACCGAUGCAGGAAGACAAUGCUGAAGUGCCAAUUGUUGGAGGAAGUUGACAUCGAAGUGUUGUUUGCUGGAGGAAGAUGAUGUAAUAAGGGUACUCUUCUGAAAUCUAAAGGACAAUGAAUUUUUGAGAUGGUCGAACCAUUGCCUGGGGAAGGUAUUUUAGGGAUGGCUGAGUUGACCACGCUUGCUCGAUGGAAAGAGAUGUUACUUGGAUGCGGAGAGAUUUUAUAUAUGUACGUGAACGUGAGAUUUUGUUUCUGCUUGGAGAGAUUGUAUCUCUGUACAAUAUUGGUAGAGUUUGGUUAUGUUUGGAGAGAUUGUAUCUUUGCAUAGGAUUGUGAGAGUUUGGUCAUUGCGUCCUGUA